UACCAGCACCCCGAGUGGUCGGGACGUUUUAUUGGGCCUAAAGCAUCCGUAGCCGGUUCUACAAGUCUUCCGUUAAAUCCAGCUGCUUAACAGAUGGGCUGCGGAAGAUACUAUGGAGCUAGGAGGCGGGAGAGGCAAGCGGUACUCGAUGGGUAGGGGUAAAAUCCGUUGAUCCAUUGAAGACCACCAGUGGCGAAGGCGGCUUGCCAGAACGCGCUCGACGGUGAGGGAUGAAAGUUGGGGGAGCAAACCGG
rnacentral:rRNA from 1 species